UAAGACCCCUGGAAGACUACCAGGUUGAUAGGUUGGAGGUGUACGCAUGGCAACAUGUUCAGCUGACCAAUACUAAUCGGUCGAGGGCUUGACCUAG
rnacentral:rRNA from 1 species